rnacentral:rRNA from 1 species
UGGGAAACAGGUUAAUAUUCCUGUACUUGGUGUUACUGCGAAGGGGGGACGGAGAAGGCUAUGUUGGCCGGGCGACGGUUGUCCCGGUUUAAGCGUGUAGGCUGGUUUUCCAGGCAAAUCCGGAAAAUCAAGGCUGAGGCGUGAUGACGAGGCACUACGGUGCUGAAGCAACAAAUGCCCUGCUUCCAGGAAAAGCCUCUAAGCAUCAGGUAACAUCAAAUCGUACCCCAAACCGACACAGGUGGUCAGGUAGAGAAUACCAAGGCGCUUGAGAGAACUCGGGUGAAGGAACUAGGCAAAAUGGUGCCGUAACUUCGGGAGAAGGCACGCUGAUAUGUAGGUGAAGUCCCUCGCGGAUGGAGCUGAAAUCAGUCGAAGAUACCAGCUGGCUGCAACUGUUUAUUAAAAACACAGCACUGUGCAAACACGAAAGUGGACGUAUACGGUGUGACGCCUGCCCGGUGCCGGAAGGUUAAUUGAUGGGGUCAGCGCAAGCGAAGCUCUUGAUCGAAGCCCCGGUAAACGGCGGCCGUAACUAUAACGGUCCUAAGGUAGCGAAAUUCCUUGUCGGGUAAGUUCCGACCUGCACGAAUGGCGUAAUGAUGGCCAGGCUGUCUCCACCCGAGACUCAGUGAAAUUGAACUCGCUGUGAAGAUGCAGUGUACCCGCGGCAAGACGGAAAGACCCCGUGAACCUUUACUAUAGCUUGACACUGAACAUUGAGCCUUGAUGUGUAGGAUAGGUGGGAGGCUUUGAAGUGUGGACGCCAGUCUGCAUGGAGCCGACCUUGAAAUACCACCCUUUAAUGUUUGAUGUUCUAACGUGGACCCGUGAUCCGGGUUGCGGACAGUGUCUGGUGGGUAGUUUGACUGGGGCGGUCUCCUCCUAAAGAGUAACGGAGGAGCACGAAGGUUGGCUAAUCCUGGUCGGACAUCAGGAGGUUAGUGCAAUGGCAUAAGCCAGCUUGACUGCGAGCGUGACGGCGCGAGCAGGUGCGAAAGCAGGUCAUAGUGAUCCGGUGGUUCUGAAUGGAAGGGCCAUCGCUCAACGGAUAAAAGGUACUCCGGGGAUAACAGGCUGAUACCGCCCAAGAGUUCAUAUCGACGGCGGUGUUUGGCACCUCGAUGUCGGCUCAUCACAUCCUGGGGCUGAAGUAGGUCCCAAGGGUAUGGCUGUUCGCCAUUUAAAGUGGUACGCGAGCUGGGUUUAGAACGUCGUGAGACAGUUCGGUCCCUAUCUGCCGUGGGCGCUGGAGAACUGAGGGGGGCUGCUCCUAGUACGAGAGGACCGGAGUGGACGCAUCACUGGUGUUCGGGUUGUCAUGCCAAUGGCACUGCCCGGUAGCUAAAUGCGGAAGAGAUAAGUGCUGAAAGCAUCUAAGCACGAAACUUGCCCCGAGAUGAGUUCUCCCUGACCCUUUAAGGGUCCUGAAGGAACGUUGAAGACGACGACGUUGAUAGGCCGGGUGUGUAAGCGCAGCGAUGCGUUGAGCUAACCGGUACUAAUGAACCGUGAGGCUUAACCUUACAACGCCGAAGGUGUUU